CCUACGGGUGGCAGCAGUGAGGAAUAUUGGUCAAUGGCCGGAAGUCUGAACCAGCCAUGCCGCGUGAAGGUCAGUGCCCUAUGGGCGUUAAACUUCUUUUGUGCGGGAGCAAUAAUGGUCACGUGUGGCCAGACGAGAGGACCGUACGAAUAAGCAACGGCGAACUCCGGGCCAGCAGCCGCGGUAAUACGGGGGAUGCAAGCGUUAUCCGGAUUUCGUGGGGUUAACGGGUGCGUCGGCUGGGAGGUACGUCAGCGGGGAAAGGCCCCCGCUCAACGGGGUGAAGUGCCAUUGAUACUGCCUUGCUGGACUGCGGAUGCCGUGGCCGGCAUGUGUGGUGUCGCGG
rnacentral:rRNA from 1 species